rnacentral:rRNA from 1 species
ACGCGACGACGGGUAGCCGGCCUGAGAGGGCGACCGGCCACACUGGGACUGAGACACGGCCCAGACUCCUACGGGAGGCAGCAGUGGGGAAUAUUGCGCAAUGGGCGGAAGCCUGACGCAGCGACGCCGCGUGGGGGAUGACGGCCUUCGGGUUGUAAACCUCUUUCAGCAGGGACGAAGUUGACGUGUACCUGCAGAAGAAGCGCCGGCUAACUACGUGCCAGCAGCCGCGGUAAUACGUAGGGCGCAAGCGUUGUCCGGAAUUAUUGGGCGUAAAGAGCUCGUAGGUGGCUGGUUCGUCUGCCGUGAAAGCCCGCCGCUUAACUGCGGGUCUGCGGUGGAUACGGGCCGGCUAGAGGUAGGUAGGGGCAAGUGGAAUUCCUGGUGUAGUAGUGAAAUGCGCAGAUAUCAGGAGGAACACCGGUGGCGAAGGCGGCUUGCUGGGCCUUACCUGAUGCUGAGGAGCGAAAGCGUGGGGAGCGAACAGGAUUAAAUACCCUGGUGUCCACGCUGUAAACGUUGGGCGCUAGGUGUGGGGGUCUUCCACGAUCUCCGUGCCGGAGCUAACGCAUUAAUUACCCCCCCUGGCGAGUACGGCCGCAAGGCUAAAACUCAAAGGAAUUGAUUGACGCCCGCACAAGCGGCGGAGCAUGUUGCUUAAUUCGACGCAACGCGAACAACCUUACCAAGGUUUGACAUCACCCGGACACUCACAGACAUGGAGGCUUCUUCCCACUGGGUGACAGGUGGUGCAUGGCUGUCGUCACCUCGUGUCGUGACAUGUUGGGUUAAGUCACGCAACGAGCGCAACCCUUGCUCCGUGUUGUGUUCAACACAGUUUUGGUGGUUGGGGGACUCAUGCGGGACUGACGGCGUCAACUCGGAGGAAGGAGGGGAUGACGUCAGUCAUCAUGCCCCUUAUGUCUUGGUCUGCAACAUGCUACAAUGAUGGUAGGACGGUUGCGAUGCAGUGAGCGAGCGAAUCACUACAGCGUCUCGUACGUAUGAUGUCUGCAGCUCGAUCGCAUGAGUACGAGUCGCUAGUAUUCACGAUCAUCAACCUGCCGUCGAUACGUCUGGCGUGUAGCACGCGUCAGUUACCGAGAUCGUCGAACGAGACUGUCACAGCUGUUGG